rnacentral:lncRNA from 7 species
AGACUUUCUUUUCAACUCUUUCCCCAUGCUUUGUGUCAGAGAGCUCUGUAUCACAGAGCACAUCCCUUUACUCUCCAACAGUGCUGAGAUGCAGCAAUGUGGAACCAACCCACACACAUUUUGUUUGUAAUGUUCAUUGCUGAGGAUGACUGUCACAGGCCAUUCCCUGGGCUCCCCUCUCUAGUACGUCCUGCUGUUGCUACUUCUCUUCACAUGAUUACUUUCACUUAGCAAGCCACUUCAAACACUUUCUUUCCCCCACUCAGUCAUUAGUUAUUUCUGUUUCUCUUUAAUGCACAGAAAGUCUUAAUACCGUUGUCUGAGUAUCACUAGGGCCUAUAGUUUGUACAUAAAAAUAGGUACAUUCAUAAGCACAAGGAAAAUCUGUGGUUUGGCAGUGGGCGCAUAGCACCCUUAUUUGCUCUUUGUUUCAGCUGUGCCUUUGUAGGAGGCAUCUUAUGCCACAACUCCUUGUCCAGCCCUUGACAGAGCAUGCUCAGAGAAGCAAUCUGAAAGAGGGAGCAGCACUGAGAAAGGCCAUUAAUUACAGUCAGAAUUUCCCUUCCAGCAGGGUUGGAAUCAUGGCUAGUAAAUGGGAAAGAAACUGAACAAUGUGCAGGUGAUUUACAACAAAUCAGGUACAAAUUUAAACCAGAGUGCAAGCCAUAUGCGAUGAUGGGAGCCAAGAUACUGUCCUGUACUUUACUGUGAAGUACAUAAAUUCAGAAGACACUCAUGGAACAUGCCCAGAAAAAAAGAAAUCAUUUCUGAAUACAACUUGCAGAAGGUCCCAAGAGCCUCAUUCAGAAAUUUGGAGACAGAAUUUCAACUGCUGACUUUUUAAAUGAGUUUUCAUUAACUCGUUUCCAUUAAUCUUCGGAAUCUGAGAGUAGCUCCCUCUCAUUCAUACUCUAUACUAUAAAAAAAAAAAACCCUAGGGAAAUUUAUCUUCUGUAAAUGACUCUAUUAAAGGAGCAGAACAAUAUUGCAUGAAUGAAAUGCAAGAAAAUCAGAAAUCUUUGAUUUUUCAAUGAGAAAUUAUGGUUUUCUCUGCCACUAUCCAUUUGUUUGAUGGCUUUAUUCUUAGAUAUGUAUUUGCAGCAUGGCUUUCAUGAAGACCACAUAGCUCCUUGCAAACCUAUGUUUCUUGCAUUAUGGUUUUGGUUUCUAUAUGUCUGCCAGAGGUGACAUAGAUGAAUGGAGGUAUGUAACUUUUGAGGCCAUAUAAAGAUACAGAAACUAAAAAUAGUGGUAAUUACUUGAAAAAAAAAAAAGAAAUCUCAGAAAGGUCUGAGGUUUAGUUUCUGUAAGAAUCCAGCAUGGAAGUAAUGAUGCAAAAAAUAUCAAACUACCAUGAUUAUUAUGUUUUGAAAUCUUCUUUGUUCGUUAUUCUUCAUCAAAAUAUCUAAUGUGAUAAUCAAGACCUCGUUCCUAUCCUCCAGAGAUUACAAAUUACU